rnacentral:rRNA from 1 species
GAGUUUGAUCGUGGCUCAGAUUGAACGCUGGCGGCAUGCCUUACACAUGCAAGUCGAACGGCAGCACGGGAGCUUGCUCCUGGUGGCGAGUGGCGAACGGGUGAGUAAUGCAUCGGAACGUAUCCUGGAGUGGGGGAUAACGUAGCGAAAGUUACGCUAAUACCGCAUAUUCUGUGAGCAGGAAAGCGGGGGACCUUCGGGCCUCGCGCUCUUGGAGCGGCCGAUGUCGGAUUAGCUAGUUGGUGAGGUAAAGGCUCACCAAGGCGACGAUCCGUAGCAGGUCUGAGAGGAUGAUCUGCCACACUGGAACUGAGACACGGUCCAGACUCCUACGGGAGGCAGCAGUGGGGAAUUUUGGACAAUGGGGGCAACCCUGAUCCAGCCAUGCCGCGUGAGUGAAGAAGGCCUCGGUUGUAAGUACGUACUUUCGUCGUAC